rnacentral:lncRNA from 1 species
GAGCACUCUGACUUAGAUUCAGGGCCUGUGUCUCAAAGUGGUAUGUGGGAUAUUCAGGAUUUGGUGCGAGAUGGGGAUUUAAACGACAUGGGGUAUCAUGGACCAACCCUUACAUGGUGUAAUAAGCGAUCAGCGGGUCUAGUCUGUAAAAAACUUGACCGUCUUCUAAUGAAUGCUCAUUGGCUUGAUCGAAAUCCACAGUCUUACUGUGUAUUUGAAUCUGGUGGCUGUUCUGAUCAUUUGAGGUGUCGAUUUUACAUUGAUGGGGGGUCAUCUAGGCCCAAAAAACCUUUUAAAUUCACGAAUGUGGUAGCAAAGCUCCUGGAAUUUCAGUCAGCUUUGCAGGACUAUUGGGAAGGAACAACUCCUCUGUUUCAUUCUACUUCAGCUCUCUUUAGAUUCUCUAAGAAGCUUAAAUUCUUGAAACCAGUGGUGAGGCAGGUGUCUCGCGCUGCUCUCCAUGAUAUUUCGAAGCGGGUGCAAGAACAUUUUGUUGAUUUGUGCGCCAAACAAGAACAGAUCCUGGUGAGUCCUUCUUCGAUGGCACAACAGGAGGAAAGUGUGGCUUUUGUUAAAUGGGAGGAUUCAGCUAACCUGGAAGAGAGAUAUCUGGCUCAGAAAUCUAAGCUUAAUUGGUUGAAUGUGGGGGAUAAGAAUACCAAAUUCUACCACAGAGCGGUGACAACAAGAGCAAUUAGGAAUGGAAUUCGGGAGUUACAGACAUCAGAAGGGCAAUUGCUUAGUGGGUGUUCUGAAAUCAAGGAGGAGGAGGUAAACUAUUUUAAGUCUUUUCUGAAGCAUCGACCGGAUGUUUUUCGAGAGGUAAUG